rnacentral:lncRNA from 1 species
AAGACAUUGAAAUGAGGAAGGUGAAGACUUCCAAGCAAAAAGUUUUCAAAAUACAAAAUGCCUACAAAAAAAAGGUUACCAAGAGUAAAUCACUGGGAAAACAGAAAAAGAAUUUUCAAGGUAAUAAUAAUAAUUCUUUCUACUAUAAGCACAAGCCCUGAACUUAGAUGUUUAUUAAAUAAAUAAAUAAAUAAUUUAAUGGAUAUAGAUUAAAUUAUAGUAUUUUAGCUUCACUUAAUGUAUAUUAUGUAUUUUAUUUUAUGUAUAUUAUGUAUUUUGUUUUAAAUAUUUUGUUUUAAUUGUAUUUUAAUUUUCCAGUAAUGAUAUACUAUAGUUUGUUAUUUUUUUUAUAAGCUAAAAUAUAUUUUCAUAGAUAAAAUAAAUAUUUCUAUAUAUUUAUUUUAGUUUUAUUUACACCACGUUUUUAAUGAGAUAAAUUUAUUAUAAACACCAAGUCCUAUGUAUUAGGUUAAAAGAUUUAGUUAACAGAAUAUAUUUGAUAAGAUAUUUCGUGAUUUUGUUCAAUUUUUUAUUGAAAAUUUAUGUAUUUUUAUAUGUAUUUAUAUUUUCUUAUAAAAUAAUAUAUGUACAUUUAUUUAAUUAUUUUAUUGUUUUUAUCUUGGAUCUCAUGAGUGACUAUAUUUAAAUUGAAUUGAUUUUAUUGUUAUCAAUUUGAAAAUAUAGCCAGGAAACACGUGUAGUCAAUUUACUAAUUAUAUACUAUUCAUUUAUUAUUUCGUACUUUAUUUAGUUCUAGCUAAAUAUUUUAUUGUAUCUUUAAUUUUUUUUUCUAUAUGGUAUGAUUUAAGUAUAUCAUUGUUGAAUUACUACAUGGUGGUUCUUCUCUAAUUUGUAUACGUGUAUUAUAUAUUGUGAAAUUUGAUUUAGUAUUACUAAAUUGAAUUUUUCCCUGCAAGUUUGGAAUCAUAUUCCCUAAUAUUAUUAUUAUUACACACACACACACACAUAUAUAUAUAUAUAUAUAUAUAUAUAUAUAUAUAGGGGUUGGACAAAAUAAUGGAAACACCUUAAAAUUUCAGACAAAUUUAUUCUGAGGUAGGACCACCUUUGGCAGUAAUUACAGCUUGAAUUCUACAAGGUAUGGACUCGUACAAAGUUUGGAUUGUUUCCAAAGGAAAUUUUGUCCAUUCUUCAGCUAAAACAGUCUCCAGUUCUUGUAGUGAUGAUGGUGGAGGAUAUCAACUCCUUACUUGUUUUUCUAAAAUGCACUAUAAAUGUUCAAUAAUAUUGAGAUCUGGAGACUGUGGUGGCCAGAUAAGAUCUUCAACUUCACUAGAAUGUUCCUCAUGCCAUUCAGUAACAACUUUAGCCCUGUGAAUUGGUGCAUUAUCAUCUGGAGAGAUUGUGUUUCCCACCGGAAACAGCUCCACAACAUUAGGAUGAAUUUGAUCAAUUAAAAUGCUUGAAUAGUCUUGACUAUUAAUUCUGCUAUGAAGCAAAACCAUUGGGCUGGUGGAUUUCCAAGAUAUAGUGCCCCCAGAUCAUCACUGAUCCUCCUCCAUGUUAGAAGAAGGCAGUUAGAAGAAGGCAGUCUAGGUCAAAUGCUUCUUUUGGCUGUCUCCACACGUAUACUCGGCCAGUGAUUGGAAAUAAGGUAGAGGAUGACUUGUCCAAGAAAAUAACAUUCUUCCACUGCUCUAGGUUUUUACUCCACUCUAAAUGCUUUGCAACGUUUGUUUUUGAAAGUAGUGGUUUUCUGAUUGCAACCCUCCCAUGAAAUCUGGCUUUGUGCAGCUCUUGGCGAACAUAUUUUGUGGAAACUGGGUUCUCAAAGUGGUCAUUAAACUCUGCAGUAAUUUUGGGAGCUGUACUUUUGUGAUCCUUUCUAACAAUUCGUAUAAGAGUCUGAUAGUUCCUAUCUGAAAGUUUUGGUUUUCUCCCAGAGCUUUGUUUCGACGAGGAGGUUUUUCCCUCUAUCUCAAAGGCUGUCAUUACUUACAAGACAGUACCUCUUGAUACACCAAACAUUUUGGCUGUUUUUGUUACACUAGCACCUACCAUACAAGCACCAACAAUUUACCUUUUGAAAGUCCAAUAGAUCUGUCAUUUUAAUGAAUUUUAAUUACCUUUCUUUGAUGGUAUCUGAAAAGAAACAGCAAUUUUAGCAAAACAUAUUAAGAAGCAAUAAUAAUGAAUCAAAAAACAUAAAAAUAAACAAGCUUUUGACGGUUUUAUAGAUAUUUCAAAAUUAUGAUGCUUUGAUGGUAGGUGUUUCUAUUAUUUUGUCCAACCCCUGUAUAUACACACAUAUAUAUGUGAAACCUCUGAAGCUUAUGCUAUUGGUAGUUACUUGGACUUCACGGUCACUUCAGAAAUUUCUCUUCAUCCUCUUCCACAGGUGUUCUUUAUAGGCCCCAAAACUGGCAGAUGCUACCCAAAAAUGAAACAUCAACCUCUUGGGUUAAUUGCUUGUUAUUCUAUCAGCUUUGUCAUCUGUACCGUCAAUGAAUCUAUGUGACCUUUAGCACAAGAAUAGUAACCCUACCAUAAUCAUUAUUAUGCAUCAGCAUGAAUAUAAUCAUUUCAUCUGUUUGUAUAUAUAUAUGGGAUUACAUUUUCUAAUAUAUCCUAAUUUAAGAGGGUAGUGUGUUAUUUGAGGAAAACUUGAGCUGGUAUCAAUCAGGUCAUACACCCAUGAAGAGGCCUUUCUACUUGGCUCAAAAUAUAGUUUGUCAUGUAAAAACACAAUGAUGGAAGGUAUUUGAGUCAUGAUAGUUUCACCUUUUCUAUGUCUAGAAUCUAUGUUGAUCAAUAUAGCCUUUAUUUAAUAGUAUAGCAAGUAAUAUAUUCCUUUUACACAUUAACUUCUUGACACCUAACGCAUGUUCUCUGUCUCUCUCUCUUUCUCUACUAUAUUCCUAUUUAGCCAAGGGGAUUUUUAGUUUUAGUAAUUACAUGGCAACCUCACUAAUGUUAGUGACAUGAAAAAUGCACUCAAUACAUUCUGUAACGUGGUUGGUGCCAGGAGGAGCAUCCAGCCCUGGAAACCAUGCUAAGGCAGACAUUGGAGCUUGGUGUAGUCCUCCAACAUGUUGGUUCCUGCUGAAUUGUCCAAGUUAUGUCAGCAGGGAAGAUGGACAUUAGAUGACAGUGAUAAUUUGUGAUGAAUUUGUGAGAUAUUGCCUGUUAUUUUCAGCAGGUUAAGCUAAAACUGAAUUGUGUGUGCUUACCAAACCCUGACUUGUCUGAUGAUAAAAAUGUUUGAUAAUAAAAACAGGGUUUUCCAAUUUUUCAAUGUGUUCUAUUACUUUGUGUAAAUAUAUAUAUAUUUCAGAUAAAUCUAAAACAAGUAUAAGAAAGAAGUAAAGUUGUAUAAAAACACAAAUUAAUUAUUUUUUUAAUUUGAAAUAAGUUCUUUUUUUUUUUUCACUACCCACUAUUUAACAUAUUUUCUUUGGUGUACAAUAGCAAAAUAUUUUCCUUUUAUUGACAGCAGUGACAUAGCAUGAGUUGCCAGUACCUGGGGCAAAGCAAGUAUUGCUGGGAGGAAAAACUAUUUUCUUAUAUUUAUUAUUACCACCUUAUUUUUUACUUUUGACAUUUUGCAUCUCUGUGGCCUUUUCCACACUUCACCUCUGAUUAACAGUAAAUAUUUACUAUAAAUUAUGAGGUAAUUUGUAGAUAGUCAAUAGCUUAGUAAUAGAACAUUGAACUGGUUCAUUUCCUCGGUUCAUAACAAAACCCCUUCAACAUGUUUCAUGUAGACGGGGUUUUGUUAUGUUCUUGAAAUUAUUACUAUUUGAAAUUAAUGUUAUUGAUGCUUUUAAACUACAGGAUCAUAUCUUUUACCUGUACAUAAAUUUCUAUAGCAAUAUUCUACCAAAAAGACAUUUCAAGCAAUAAUAUUUACAACUUCAUUACUGAACCUUAUUUAAAUACAGCUACCAUGCUUGAUGUUUUGGGGAGUUUUUUUUAUAUUUGUUAAUACCUGAAUAUAAAGGUGACAGAGCAAGAAAGAGCUAUUAAAUGCCUGACUUAUUUAUGUACAUAGAUGUUUAAGAUCUAUAUUAGCACAAAGUAGAGCAAUGUAGUUAAUACAAAUAGGUCAAUUGCUUUUUAGAUCUAUAAGUUGUAUUACUAAGUUAAUAAAUAAGCCAUUAUUCACACAAUAAAAACAUUUGUAUGACUACCAAAUAAUAUUAAACUAAUCUGGCAAAUUAAUUUUUUUCAUUGUUUUUAAGAACAAAGGAAAGAGAAGCAAGUAAAAACUGAAAAGGAAUACAAUGAAAUUACGAAAGAGCUGAAGCAAUGCCUGAAUGAAAAAGAUGAGCAAGUGAAAUCUUCAAAACAACAAAUUUUAAAAAUACAAAAUGCCCAUAGACAAGAACUUACCAAGAAUAAAUCACUGGAAGAACAGAUAAAAGUUUUGAAACUUAAACAUGAAAAUAGGAUAGUCACUUUGAUAAAAUUAUUCCAGUCUCAUAUAAAUCAGUUGAAAUUUGAUCAUGAUAUGGUGUUUAGCAGAAUAAAAACUGAUUACAAUAAUUACAAGAGAAAAGUGAAUGGUAAUUCUAGUUUAACUUUUGUGUGUGUGUUUAAAUUUUAUUUCAUUUACUAUUUUCUUCUUUAAAGAAGGGCAGAAACAAUAGUUUCUAUGUUUUAUAUUGUUUAUUUUGGAAGUUGUAUUUAAAGAUAUUGAUGCUUUUAAACAAAAAGUUAAUAUAUUUUACCUGUACCUAAAUUUUUAUAGCACUGUCACUCUACCAAAGCAUCUUUCCUGGCAAUAAUGCUUGUUAUGUUGCUCCCAAGUUACAUUUAAAUGUAGUUACUGCACAUGGUAAAAUCAAAGACACUGGAAGUUUGUUUGGGUUUUUUUUUUUAAUGCCUGAAUAUGAAAAAGAUAUAUCAAGUAAUAGAUGUCAACUAUCCAAGUACUUAAUAGAAAUUUGUAUAAAUGCAACGUAAAACAAUUUAGUUUAUGUGAAACAUUCAAUUUAUUCCUAGAUUGUCACUAUCAUCAUAUAUCCAUGUUACCUUGGGCUCAAAGCAGGCAUUAUGAUCUUUUCUAAUGCUACUGCUCUUCUAAACACAGAGAACUAUGGCUUAAUUGUAUGCAGGGCUGAUUUUAAGCCAAUUAGACAGAUUUGUUCAAAUUGGGCCCCAUGCCAAGAGAGGGUCCUGUACACACACUCAAACAGAGGACAUUAUAAUGAAUUUUUAGCAUAUCUUUAUGGCUAAUGGUGGAGCCACAAGCUUUCAAUGCAUUUUGGCUGGGACUGGCAUACUACAUGAAGCAUACAACAUCAAUCUUCAGCUUGUGUAGAGUAGAGGGACCCCACUGACAAUUCUCUAAUUGGGCCCCAUGUUUCCUUGCACUGGCCCUAAUUGUAUGUUCCAUUUUUGACAUUGUUUCUACAGCUGCACAUUUUCCCUAAUUCUAAGCAUUUUACAGAGAAUACCUGAGAUAAUUUUAUCUCAACCCUACACUGUCUGUGCUUGUUUGCCAAGUCAUCAAUAAGUAGUAUUGCUAAUGUUAAUUCAAAAAAGAGGUUAUUACUCACACAAUAUUAACAAUAAGCAUGCAUUAUGAUGAUGAUGCCUAAUCACAAUUAAACUAACAUAACAUUUUAUUUUUAUCUGAUUGUCUUUCAAAUUAAAUUGAAGAGAUGUCAAAAGUUGCUUAUGCGGAUCACAAAGAAAUGGUGAAUCAACUGACCAAAUAUAUGAUUGAGAAUGAUAAGGAAUCAAAAACUUCCAAGCAAG